rnacentral:rRNA from 1 species
CUACGGGGCGCAGCAGUGGGGAAUAUUGCACAAUGGGCGCAAGCCUGAUGCAGCCAUGCCGCGUGUAUGAAGAAGGCCUUCGGGUUGUAAAGUACUUUCAGCGGGGAGGAAGGGAGUAAAGUUAAUACCUUUGCUCAUUGACGUUACCCGCAGAAGAAGCACCGGCUAACUCCGUGCCGGCAGCCGCGGUAAUACGGAGGGUGCAAGCGUUAAUCGGAAUUACUGGGCGUAAAGCGCACGCAGGCGGUUUGUUAAGUCAGAUGUGAAAUCCCCGGGCUCAACCUGGGAACUGCAUCUGAUACUGGCAAGCUUGUGUAUCGUAGAGGGGGGUAGAAUUCCAGGUGCAGCGGUGAAAUGCGUAGAGAUCUGGAGGAAUACCGGUGGCGAAGGCGGCCCCCUGGACGAAGACUGACGCUCAGGUGCGAAAGCGUGGGGAGCAAACAGGAUUAGAUACCCGUGUAGUC